AAGGCUUCCCUAUUGUUGGCUGUCGAAGAAAAUCUGGCACAAGUAAAUGGUUUAGACACCAAAUGAAACAUCACUGACUUUCAUGAAUGAAUGCUCCAGUGCAUUUGCCGGGGAGAGAUCGGUUGUUUUAAUGUAGCCACUGAGGUAUGUCAUUACGUUUCUGUCGAUAGCGAAGGUGUUCAGAAAAUAAUCCCAGUCAUCAGCAACCAUAUCCAGAGGAAGUGAGACUAUAGAAGCUACCAAAACACCACAUUACCUCUCUUCACUGGCUCUGAAGAUAAGUCUGGGUGAAAAAGUUAGACAAAGGUUAAAAGCAGCAACUUGGAGAAAACUUUCAAGAAGAAUCAAGAUUGGAAUUCUGAAUAGUUUCAUCUUUUUUGUAGAAUAAUCGUUCGAUGCAAUCAAGGGCACAGUUUUGUUCGGGAAUUGGUGGAAAUGUGCAGAAGAAAAGGAUUCGUUUCUGGGGCUAUAGUGCUGCUAAUUGUGUAUAGUAUUUGGCAUUUAACGUUCCAUUACAUGAAAUGGUGAAAUGGCCAAAAUACACUUGUUUACAUUAGCAUUCUUUCAUUUUUUUUCCCAAGGCAGGAUUUUGCUGCAGAUCAAUCGUGUUAUGUACUUUAAUGUUACUGAUUACGUAUGUAAACUAUAGCCAUUAUCUUGAGGUUGAGCUGAUGCCAUUUUGGGAGAUA